rnacentral:rRNA from 1 species
GAUGAACGCUGGCGGCGUGCCUAAUACAUGCAAGUCGAGCGAACGGACGAGAAGCUUGCUUCUCUGAUGUUAGCGGCGGACGGGUGAGCAACACGUGGAUAACCUACCUAUAAGACUGGGAUAACUUCGGGAAACCGGAGCUAAUACCGGAUAAUAUUUUGAACCGCAUGGUUCAAAAGUGAAAGACGGUCUUGCUGUCACUUAUAGAUGGAUCCGCGCUGCAUUAGCUAGUUGGUAAGGUAACGGCUUACCAAGGCAACGAUGCAUAGCCGACCUGAGAGGGUGAUCGGCCACACUGGAACUGAGACACGGUCCAGACUCCUACGGGAGGCAGCAGUAGGGAAUCUUCCGCAAAGGGCGAAAGCCUGACGGAGCAACGCCGCGUGAGUGAUGAAGGUCUUCGGAUCGUAAAACUCUGUUACUAGGGAAGAACAUAUGUGUAAGUAACUGUGCACAUCUUGACGGUACCUAAUCAGAAAGCCACGGCUAACUACGUG